ensembl:ncRNA H01G02.9 ncRNA
UAUGCCUGCCUGCCUUCACCGCGACCUACGCCUGCCUCGUGCCUACUAGCGUUCAUGCGUUCUUACGGUCAAAUUUCAGGUGUAUAUGUUUUGACGAUUUUUAAAUUGUCAUGGAGCACACUUUGAAAAAACCCUACAAUAGGAAGUAGGCUGGCGAGGAGGCAGGCGCCUACCGAUGUGCCUAGCUAAAAAUGCAGAACCAAACUUCAUUUU